GGCUGGUUGGCGCAAUGGUAGCGCGUUCGCCUCCAGUUCGAUCCUCCUCAAAAGGGAUCGAGUAGGCGGCAGCGAAAGGCUGGGUGUUCGAAUCACUCACUGGUCA